rnacentral:rRNA from 1 species
GAUGAACGCUGGCGGCGUGCUUAACACAUGCAAGUCGAACGGAAAGGCCACAGCUUGCUGUGGUACUCGAGUGGCGAACGGGUGAGUAACACGCGGGGGAUCUGCCCUGUACUUCGGGAUAAGCUUGGGAAACUGGGUCUAAUAUCGGAGAGGAAUCACAUGUGGGCGUGUGGUUGGAAAGCUUUUGCGGUAUGGGAUGAGCUCGCGGCCUAUCAGCUUGUUGGUGGGGUAUUGGCCUACCAAGGCGUCGACGGGUAGCCGGCCUGAGAGGGUGUACGGCCACAUUGCGACUGAGAGACGGACCAGACGCCUACGGGAGGCAGCGGUGGAGAAUAUUGCACAAUGGGCGCAAGCCUGAGACAGAGGCGCCGCGUGGGUGAUGACGGCCUUCGAGUUAUAAACACCUUUCGUCAGGGACGAAGCGAAAGUGACGGUACCUGGAUAGGAAGCACCGGCUAACUACGUG